GGCGCCGCCAUGACAGGUGGGGCCUAAAGGGAAUGGGCUGCUUGCCGGUUCUGCGACCGGAAAAGAAAACGGGAUGAGGACGGCCGAGCUGGGCGCCGCCAUGACACUCUGUACCGGAAAAGGCGGGGCGCUCCCCCCCUGACUGAGUUCCUACGGGCAUCGGCCUCGAGAUGCAGGCGGCCCUGGAGAUCACUGCUCGCUACUGUGGCCGAGAGCUGGAGCAAUAUGGCCAGUGUGUGGUGGCCAAGCCUGAGUCAUGGCAGCGAGACUGUCACCACCUUAAGAUGAGUAUUGCUCAGUGCACGUCCUCCCACCCAAUCAUCCGUCAGAUCCGCCAGGCUUGUGCUGAGCCUUUUGAGGCCUUUGAAGAGUGUCUUCGACAGAAUGAGGCAGCUGUGGGCAACUGUGCAGAGCAUGUGCGCCGCUUCCUGCAGUGUGCUGAGCAGGUGCAACCACCACGCUCACCCUCAGCUAUGGAGACAAAGCCACUUCCUACCUCCUGAGGACCCUUUGAACCACAGGAAAACUGGACCUGAGUGACUGAUCACUUGAUGCCACCAGCCCUGAAGAGCAGGCAGAUGGAGUCAUGAGAGCCCUGGAUAAUCCAACCCUGAGAAUGGAGUGCAGAUAAUAUAUUUGGAAUGUGAUUCCAGAAACAUUGGAGAGGAAUGGAGAAGUGAGACAGAAGAAGGCAACCAAUAAAAGGUGCAUUAUCAAGCCAGUUAUCACAGUGGGCAGUGGGCUCUAUACUCAGUGGGGUAUAGAUCACCAGCUUCCCAUCUGUCAUGGGGGCUGUUUUCAUGGGCAUUGACCAUUUAGCACUACUGUCUUCUUUGUGUGUGGUCACGUGCCCUGCCAUCAAAGAAGCCCUGAGUGGAGAGUAGCGGAGAAUCAAGUAAGUAACGUUCAGUGCCCAGAAGAGUGCUGAGUGGAUCUGGGCAGGGACUAGCAGUGGCUGCUGCAGCUUCUGAUUGUUUCUUCUUGGGCAUAUACACUCUGUGGGCCCAGCUGAUGGAUCACGGGCUCGCCAGCAUGGGCAGGUCCUGAGGGGCAAAGGGCAGAGAGACACAGAUAUGGGUGAGAGAUCUGGGAAUGCCCAGCUCAGUGUGCCCAGUGCCUGCACCCAGAUUCACCAUUCAGACAAGUCCCUUCCCCUUGGAGGGGACUCCAGACUUCUAGAAAUUAGAAGUGACUGGCCAGCACUGACUGGAGUAGCCAUUUGAAACCUAAGGCUUGUGCUCUGCCUUGGAAAAAUGAGCUAGAGAGUCUCCUGGGGAUUUCUUCUUUAAGACAAAGUUGUCAGUUGGCUUGGGAACUAAGAUGGAAGUCCUGCAGUCAUAGUUGUAGGAGCCAUCAGAAGCCAUGUGGCACAAACCAGAGAAAACCCAGGUAGCGAAAAGGGAUGUGAUAGUUCUUGGGGUCCCUGAAAGGGCUGCUUGGGGCCUAGUGGCUUUCUAUUCCUAGCUUUGGUUUCCUUGGGAUGUGGAUUGAGUCCUCAGGUUUCUUUGUAUGUUUUCAGUCAAUCCCACUUUGCUUAGGUAAGCUUGAGUGGGAUUCUGCUCUGUAUAAUUAAAGAAAUGAAAAAAAAUUAAAGAAAUGUAAUAAAGGGGUCCCUGGGUGGCUCAGUUAAGAACCCAACUUUGGAUUUUGACUUGGAUCAUGAGAUCGGCCCCAUGUCAGGCUCUAUACUCUGAGGAUUCUGCUUGAGAUUCUCUCUCUUUCUCUCCCUCUGCCCCAACUCCUCCCCUGCCCUUCUCAAUUAAAAAAAAAAAAAGUAUAACAAACAAAACAGGUUAAGACUACAUUUUAGAAUCUCUUAAGUGACCUCUCUUCCAGUAGGCUACACCAGCUUCCUUAUCUGGUGGUAUACCAGGGGUCCCAGGGGAAGCAAAAAUGGAAACUUCAAAGUCAUCAUUUUUAUCACAUUCUAUUGGUCAAUGCAAGUCUCAGGGCCAACCCAGAUUAAAGGGGUGGGGAGACUACCUCUCGAUGGCAUUUGGCUGAAAGGGAUUUUGCCCACAUUUAAACUACCAUAAAAAUUUAAUAGUUUGGGGGCUUCUGGAUAGUGCAGUUGGUACAGUCAACUCUUUUG